GAGUUGAGCAGCCUGGCGGGUGCUGUGGAGAGGGAGUGGGAGUCAGCAAAGCACCCGGCUUCCCUGCUCCCCUCAGGACCCAGGGAGCUUCAGUCCCUGGUGGCUUCCCAUGGAGCCUCCACCUGAAGCCAAGAUUGCUGUGGCACUUUCUGGAGCAACUGUCAGUCAGACUGCUCCAGAAGAACAGGAGAAAUAGAAGAUCUGCAACUACAGGAGAAGAUGUCUUAGAGUAGCUUACAG